UUUUAUCUUUGCAAGUGAUCCAUGAAGGCAUGAACAAAAUGGACAAUAGCAUAGCUGUUAGGGACAUGGCCAACACCUCAACACAAAGAUGAUUGACAGCUGGGUGUUAGGUGAUUGACAACACCUCAGUACCAUGUGGAGCAACCUGGUUGAAUGUGGCUGAUGUGAUCACGAUCUCUAGGCGUUAAGGCAUUACCGACUUUGUCGUGCCCUCAUUUCUCUGGAUUCGACGUAGUACAAUUCUAUGAAGGUUGCCGAAUAUGUGAAAUUGUGCCCGACAUCAUUGUUUGCGAAUGUAAUGUUCCAACAGUUGUAUUAUAAAUGAGUGUCUUAGGUGCAGUUUUAGGGAGAUUCUAUUUGGCUUGUCAUUCUCGGUCUUUGUUGACACCUUGAUGUUCAAGCUAACUACAUCAAACGUAGGCACCGUGGGGCUUUCUUUGUUCGGUGCGCCUACGAUGCAACUUGCAAGAUUCGACGUCUUUUUAAUUUUGCUAUCC
rnacentral:lncRNA from 1 species